rnacentral:lncRNA from 1 species
CCACAUUGUGUCCCAACCUCAAAAAUCUUGUGACUCCUCACUAAGACUACUUUAAUCAAAAUUUUGCUGAAUUAAAAUAUACUAAUGUAUCAUCUCUAAUUUUACUUGGAGUGAUCAAUCCCAUCUUGACUCGCACUCAAACAUUACAAGUACUUGACUAUACUCAGAAACCUUCCAUCACAGUGAGUUGCUUGCAAGUUACCGAGGUAGCCUC